GAAAGGAUUGCUAAUACCCCAUGUGGUCAUAUUGAUUAGAUGCAUAAUGACUAAACGGAUUGAUUCGCUUCGGGAGGGGCCUGCGUCCCAUCAGCUAGUUGGUAGGGUAAUAGCCUACCAAGGCGAUGACGGGUAGGGGACCUGAGAGGGUGGCUCCCCACAAUGGAACUGAAACACGGUCCAUACACCUACGGGUGGCAGCAGUAGGGAAUAUUGGUAAUCUGGGAAACCGGGAACCAGCAACGCCGCGUGCGCGAUGAAGGCCUUCGGGUUGUAAAGCGCUUUUUGAGGGGAUGAGGAAGGACAGUACCUUCAGAAUAAGCCUCGGCUAACUACGUGCCAGCAGCCGCGGUAAAACGUAGGAGGCGAGCGUUAUCCGGAUUUACUGGGCGUAAAGCGUGUGUAGGCGGUUUGAUAAGUUGGAUGUGAAAGCUCCUGGCUCAACUGGGAGAGGUCGUUCAAAACUAUCAGACUAGAGAGUGGUAGAGGGAGGUGGAAUUCCGCAUGUAGUGGUGAAAUGCGUAGAUAUGCGGAGGAACACCAGUGGCGAAAGCGGCCUCCUGGCCCAUUUCUGACGCUCAGACACGAAAGCUAAGGUAGCAAACGGGAUUAGAGACCCCGGUAGUCUUAGCUGUAAACGAUGUGAACUUAGUGUCGGUGGGGGUUAAAUCCAUCGGUACUGAAGCAAACGCGAUAAGUUCACCGCCUGAGGACUACGGCCGCAAGGUUAAAACUCAAAGGAAUUGACGGGGCCCCGCACAAGCAGCGGAGCCGUGUGGUUUAAUUCGAUGCUACACGAA
rnacentral:rRNA from 1 species